rnacentral:rRNA from 1 species
AUUGAACGCUGGCGGCAUGCCUUACACAUGCAAGUCGAACGACGCUAGGGGCAACUCUAGCGAGUGGCGUACGGGUGAGUAAUGCAUCGGAACGUGCCCUCUCGUGGGGGAUAACCAGUCGAAAGAUUGGCUAAUACCGCAUGAGCUCGAGAGAGGAAAGCGGGGGACCGCAAGGCCUCGCGCGAGAGGAGCGGCCGAUGCCCGAUUAGCUAGUUGGUGGGUAAUGGGCCACCAAGGCGACGAUCGGUAGCUGGUCUGAGAGGACGACCAGCCACACUGGGACUGAGACACGGCCCAGACUCCUACGGGAGGCAGCAGUGGGGAAUUUUGGACAAUGGGGCAACCCUGAUCCAGCCAUGCCGCGUGUGUGAAGAAGGCCUUCGGGUUGUAAAGCACUUUCGGACGGAACGAAAUCGCGCGGGUGAACAAUCCGCGUGGAUGACGGUACCGUAAGAAGAAGCACCGGCUAACUACGUGCCAGCAGCCGCAGUAA